CGCGGGGUGGAGCAGCCGGUAGCUCGCGAGGCUCAUAACCUCGAGGUCACAGGUUCGAAUCCUGUCCCCGCAA
rnacentral:tRNA from 1 species